rnacentral:misc_RNA from 1 species
GUUUUCAGAUUUGAGCAGAUACUCUAUUUCAUUCAAGCAACAUCAGCUAUAGCUACCAGCCUACCACUAGUAUAAAAACUGGAACUUAAUGUUUUGAUUUUCCCCUCAGCAUUGGUUUUGAGUUCAGAUAAGCAACAAUCACGUUGGAAAGUGUUUCUUGUACUUGAAUUUAUUUCACUAUAAUAUAUUGAGAGCAGCAAUAGUUCACCAUUUCUGAUAACUUGAAACAGGGUUUUGUGUUGAUGUCACCAAGCUUCUUCACAUUUUGCAAUUACUUUCCAUAAUCAUAUAAAUAGUUUGAUGUUGUAGCUCAAGGUCCUCACUCUGGCACUUGUUAAAUCCUCCUGGUUUUGUAGAUAGUGUAAGCCAACAGCAAUGGAAUUGCAAGGCUAUAGCCCGGAAAAUGGAACAAUGGGUUCAUCUCAUAAGCUUUCAUAAGGGCUCUGCAAUUCAUAAAAUGCUUCCAACAGAUUCCCAAGCAAACCACCAAUAGAACUUUCCGAAUGCACCUACGACCAAAAUAAAAUUUCAGUCUUCUAUCUCCCUGUUUAUCAAGCACUUGAGAUUUCUUAUUCAUCUGACCAGAAUCAUCAUCUUCUUUCUUCCCUGAAAGAGAUAGAAAAUGUUCCUUGAACAUGCCUCUUUCAGCAGCCAAUGCCCCAGCAACAAAAGUAGCAGGCAAAACCACAAAGAUGAGAUGGGGAAGGACAACCACCAUUAUAUCUGGAGAUCCAAUGUACUCCUGAUUUCCGUUGUCAUUGGAUGAUCUUACCACCCAUCCCAUGUAGGUCAUGUACCCCUUAUCCUCACCAUCAGUGAAAACUUGCCCAAUAAACCAGGGAAACAAUAAAAGGUAUAUCAAAUACCCUAAAAUACCAAACCAUGUAAUGGGAAGCCUGCAGAGGUCCUGAAAAACCCAUNACCCAUGCUAUACCAUUGAAGAAACCUUUUUCAACAAUAAAAGACUUGUAAGAGUACUGCUUCUUUGAAAAUAAGAGAAGAAGUCUUGGAAUAAGCAGAAUGGAUAACAUUAAA